GACGAACGCUGGCGGCGGGCUUAACACAUGCAAGCCGAACGGAAAGGCCCUGCUUUUGUGGGGUGCUCGAGUGGCGAACGGGUGAGUAACAAGUGAGUAACCUGCCCUUGACUUUGGGAUAACUUCAGGAAACUGGGGCUAAUACCGGAUAGGAGCUCCUGAUGCAUGGUGGGGGUUGGAAAGUUUCGGCGGUCGGGGAUGGACUCGCGGCUUAUCAGCGUGUUGGUGGGGUAGUGGCUUACCAAGGCUUUGACGGGUAGCCGGCCUGAGAGGGUGACCGGGGACCUGGGGCCUGCGGGACGGCCCAGACGCCUACGGGCGGCAGCAGUGGGGAAUAUUGCGGAAUGGGCGGGAGCCUGAUGCAGCAACGCUGCGUGCGGGAUGGCGGCCUUCGGGUUGUGAACCGCUUUCGCAUGUGCCGAAGCGUGGUUGACGGUAAUGAAUAAGGAAGCCCCGGCUAACUACGUG
rnacentral:rRNA from 1 species